rnacentral:rRNA from 1 species
GGAAUCUUGGACAAUGGGGGAAACCCUGAUCCAGCGACGCCGCGUGACCGAUGAAGCCUUUCGGGGUGUAAAUGUCUUUCAGCGGGGACUAUCCUGAAGGUACCCGCAGAAGCAGCUGCGGCUAACUACGUUCCAGCAGCCGCGGUAAUACGGAGGCAGCAAGCGUUGCUCGGAAUUACUGGGCGUAAAGCGAGUGUAGGCGGUCUGCCAAGCCUGUUGUUAAAUCUCCCGGCUCAACUGGGAGGGUGCGACGGAAACUGGCAGGCUUGAGUGCGGGAGAGGAGAGUGGAAUUCCUGGUGUAGCGGUGAAAUGCGUAGAUAUCAGGAGGAACACCGGUGGUGAAGACGGCUCUCUGGACCGCCACUGACGCUGAGACUCGAAAGCGUGGGGAGCAAAC